rnacentral:rRNA from 1 species
CGGUAAUUCCAGCUCCAGUAGCGUGUACUAAAGUUGUUGCAGUUAAAAAGCUCGUAGUUGGAUUUCUGCGGGGACGGAGCGGCCGGACGCAACUUGCGUCUCGAGCUAGCGCUUUCCCCGCAUCCUGCCGCGAACCGUGCUACCAUUAGUUUGGUGGCGCUGGGGAUCGGCUCGAUUACUUUGAGAAAAAUAGAGUGUUCAAGGCAGGCCACACGCCUUGAAUAAGUUAGCAUGGAAUAAUGACUAAGGACUUUGGUUCUUUUCGUUGGUGUUCGGGACUGAAGUAAUGAUUGAUGGGGACAGUUGGGGCGGUCCGUAUUCCAAAGCGAGAGGUGAAAUUCUUAGACCUUCGGAAGACGAACAGCUGCGAAAGCGUUCCGCAAGGAUGUUCCCUUUGAUCAAGAACGAAAGUUGGGGGAUCGAAGACGAUCAGAUACCGUCGUAGUCUCAACUAUAAACUAUACCAGCUAGGGAUCGGCCAACGUUUAAUUAUUCGACUUGGUCGGCACCUUAUGAGAAAUCAAAGCAUCUGGGUUCCGGGGGGAGUAUGGUCGCAAGGCUGAAACUUAAAGGAAUUGACGGAAGGGCACCACCAGGCGUGGAGCCUGUGGCUUAAUUUGACUCAACACGGGAAAACUUACCAGGUCCAGACAUAGGAAGGACUGACAGAUUGAUAGCUCCUUCUUGAUUCUGUGGGUGGUGGUGCAUGGCCGUUUUUAGUCGGUGAAGUGAUUUGUCUGCUUAAUUGCGUUAACGGACGAGACCCCAGCCUGCUAAAUAGCGCGGCCGAGCUUUGCUCGGUACGAGCUUCUUAGAGGGACCAUGAUGCGCGAUAGCACAAGGAAGUUUGGGGCAACAACAGGUCUGUGAUGCCCUUAGAUGUUCUGGGCCGCACACGGGCUACACUGGCGCCUGCAACGAGCAUAUCAGCUGGCCCGAGAGGGUCUUGGCUAAUCUUUGGAACCGGCGCCGUGCUUGGGAUUGACCAUUGCAAUUGUUGGUCAUGCAACGAGGAAUGCCUUGUAAACGCGAGUCAUCAGCUCGCAUUGAAUACGUCCCUGCCCUUUGUACACACCGCCCGUCGCUCCUACCGAUGAAUGUUCCGAUGAAAUUUUCGGAGAGCGCCGGAGAACGGGGCUCUGCCCUGCAGAACUGGAGGCUCAAAGUCACUUAAAUCUGAACAUUUCGAGGAAGGAGAAGUCGUAACAAGGUAACC